rnacentral:rRNA from 1 species
AGAGUUUGAUCCUGGCUCAGGAUGAACGUUAGCUACAGGCUUAACACAUGCAAGUCGAGGGGCAUCAGUUUGGUUUGCUUGCAAACCAAAGCUGGCGACCGGCGCACGGGUGAGUAACACGUAUCCAACCUGCCUCAUACUCGGGGAUAGCCUUUCGAAAGAAAGAUUAAUAUCCGAUAGCAUAUAUUUCCCGCAUGGGUUUUAUAUUAAAGAAAUUCGGUAUGAGAUGGGGAUGCGUUCCAUUAGUUUGUUGGGGGGGUAACGGCCCACCAAGACUACGAUGGAUAGGGGUUCUGAGAGGAAGGUCCCCCACAUUGGAACUGAGACACGGUCCAAACUCCUACGGGAGGCAGCAGUGAGGAAUAUUGGUCAAUGGACGCGAGUCUGAACCAGCCAAGUAGCGUGAAGGAUGACUGCCCUAUGGGUUGUAAACUUCUUUUAUAUGGGAAUAAAGUUGUUCACUUGUCGAUUUUUGUAAGUACCAUACGAAUAAGGAUCCGCUAACUCCGUGCCAGCAGCCGCGGUAAUUCGGAGGAUCCGGAGCGUUAUCCUCAUUUAUUGGGUUUAAAGGGAGCGUAGGCGGAUUGUUAACGUACAUGUUGUGAAAGUUUGCGGCUCUCAAGUAAAAUUGCACUUGAUACUGGCUGUCUUGAGUGCACUAGAGGUGGGCGGAAUUUUGUGGUGUAGCGGUGAAAUGCUUAGAUAUCUUCGAAGAGACUCCCCAUUGCGAAGGCAGCUCACUGGAGUGUAACUGACGGUGAUGCUUGAAAGUGUGGGUAUCAAACCGGAUUUAGAUACCCUGGUAGUCCACACAGUAAACGAUGAAUA